CCUACGGGUUGCAGCAGUGGGGAAUCUUAGACAAUGGGGGAAACCCUAAUCUAGCCAUGCCGCGUGAGUGAAGAAGGCCCUAGGGUCGUAAAGCUCUUUCGCCAGGGAUGAUAAUGACAGUACCUGGUAAAGAAACCCCGGCUAACUCCGUGCCAGCAGCCGCGGUAAUACGGAGGGGGUUAGCGUUGUUCGGAAUUACUGGGCGUAAAGCGCGCGUAGGCGGACAAUUAAGUCAGGGGUGAAAUCCCGGGGCUCAACCCCGGAACUGCCUUUGAUACUGGUUGUCUUGAGUUCGAGAGAGGUGAGUGGAAUUCCGAGUGUAGAGGUGAAAUUCGUAGAUAUUCGGAGGAACACCAGUGGCGAAGGCGGCUCACUGGCUCGAUACUGACGCUGAGGUGCGAAAGCGUGGGGAGCAAACAGGAUUAGAUACCCUCGUAGUC
rnacentral:rRNA from 1 species